AAAAUUUAGUUAAGAUAUAACAUCAAUUUGUCAAAUUGAAAUCAAUAUAAAAUAUUAAUUUUUA
rnacentral:tRNA from 2 species